GGAAUGCCACGUGUAUAAUGAAUCUUUGCAAGUACAACUUCCAUGUAUUGCUGUUGUCUGAAUUCAUGUCAGUGGAGUUCCUUAUGGCAAUGAAAAAGCGGCUCUGAGAACUUAUGCGACUGGAUCAAGGUAACACAGCUAGUAAGUAGGAUUUGAAUCUAGGACUGUCUGACUCUAAAGCCUGUGAUCAUUUUAUUGUGUGUGUGUGUGUGUGUGUGUGGCCUUGGGUGGUGCAGCUGGUCAACCUUACUCCAGAUUCCAGUGCAUAGUGAUAUUUUAGGACAACUUUGGAAAACAUUAGUCCUCCCAGUUCUACUUGGUUCACAAAAUUCAUGUCAACCCUGUUUUAUUACGUAGUAUUACUCAUCCAUCCUCCCAGACCUUCCCACCAACUCUUGUCUUUUACAUACUUAUCUCAGCCUCCAUUUGCAGCAAACACAGUGUCACAUCAAACAGGUUUAUGGGAUUAUCUAUAAAUGUCACCAAAGAAAGCUAUUAACAUUUCUUUUUUGUGUUUCCUUUUUAAUUAGGUCACUGAUGUUUCUGUUUUAAUGGGUGGAUUUACUUCAAUAAUGCUUAUACAGUAGAAAAGUAGUUUCUUCAGUGCAAUAUUUAUAAUGAUUCCCCCACUACUCACCUUUCAAUCCUUUGAAUUUUUAUCACCAGCAAAUGGUCAGCUUCGAAACAUUACAUCAUAAAGGACAUGCACACUUACAUUGCUCAGGGAACAAACGCUGUCCACAUAAAUGAACUUUGAUAAAAUCUUUUAUUUUAACAUGGAUAAUGCCACUUGUAAGUGGCACUGCCUCCAGAAAUAUUCGCUAAGGUGAAUGGUAAAUUAUGAGUUAUUUCAAUGCAUUAUUUGUAAACUUUAUUUGUUCAUUCAUUCAGUUAGUUAUUUUAUUCUCAAAAGGCAACCAUGGUCUGGAAUACUGGCCAGAACUGUAGUAUAAGCUUCAGCAAAACAACUAAGGAAAAUAUUAGGGUUUUCUAAUCAGGCGGUAGACCCUUAAAUGGCUGGCUCACGCAAUGGGACUAGAAUGCUGCUACUAAGUUCCUGGACUAAAGCUCUAAAGAACAGGAAUAAAAAGAAAGACUCGUAUACACAACCUCCACACAGCUCCCUCUCCAGAGUCCUGGCUUCAGAGAGUCAUACUACCUGCUGACUCUGAUUUCCACUUUUACGUAUUGGAAUGUUAAGGGACCCAGUGGGCCACUAAGACUGACCUGCAUGUGACCUGUUUCCUUUCAGAAAUCAGUGGGUUCUUCUUGUAGGAGCUGAAGCAUGGUCUGCUUAAAUCAAUCAGUUUCCAGCUUUGAUGCGCGCAAAAUCACCUGAGGUAUUUGUUGAAAAUAUGGAUUCCUAUCCAUAGACUUUGGAUUUGAUAAUGCUGGAGUGGAGGGAGUCACCUUUAUAACAACAAAUGCUACCUCUGCCUCAUGAUCCUGAAGCAAAUACCUUGGACCAACCUUGAAAAACACUAUUUUAAGCAUUUUGGUCUCCAAAGCCAGAGAAAUAUGGAGGUUGGAUUACUAAGAUCUAGAUCCUGGUUCUUUCACUUACUUUAUGACUUUGAGCGAGUUAUGCAACCAUUCCAUGCCUCAAUUUCCCAAAUAAAAAGUGAAUCUAAUUCAUGGGGUGAGAAUGAGAAGUGUUAAUCUGUUUAAAGCACUUAGAAGAAUGCUGAUGCACAGUUGAUGCUCAACAAAUGUUAUGGGUAGGAACUGGAGGGAGAAGUCAUUGCUCUGGGACUUUUUUGAACUUUCUUUGGACUUAAAUUCUGGAGCUUAUAAGCUUAGAAUAGACCAGAGAUUUGGUCAUGUGACGAUGCUCAUCUUGCCAUGACGGCACUACCACUUGGGUGCUUUUGAAAUUCGCUUGUCCUUAGCUCAAGAUGAUCAGGGAGAGGGGUACAAAGUGGUGGGAUUGGUUGGUGGUAAAACACAUACACUGAGCUAUCUGAUAAUGGGACACUUCCUAAAUGCAUUGUUUAGGCAAAGCAAAAGAACGUUAGACAAAUAUGUACAGAGCAAGAUACUGCAAGGUGAAUCUUGAAACAGGGUGUCAGUUUAACAUAACUGCAGAAGCAUAUUUCUUAUCUUCACCCCUCAGAGUCUUCUUGUAUUGAUUUUGUAUAUAAUGUUCAGGUUUUUCAUUGUAAUUAUUGGAGGAAUGGAGAAAAGUAUAUACUCCAUAUUCCUGGAAGCAGGUCUUCUAAAAACUAUUUUUUAAAACAGAAAAUUAUUAUAUGUUUAAUGCACUGUGUGACUAACAUGCUUCUUAAAGCAUAUGCUAGGGAGUGAAAAGUCCUGUUUUCUGACAAGAGGACCAAUAAUUACACAGCUUUCACAGAGCAGUAGAAUAUCCAUAAUAAACCAUUUCAUUAAAAAAUGCUAAAUACAUAGCCCAUUGCUUAAUUUAAAUAACAACAUACGGCUGUAGUCCAUCUUGAACCCAAUGGUGGUAACUAAUUUUAACAUUAUUAUUCAUGUAUUUUUCUUGUAACAGAAGGGAAGAGCUUCUGCUCUUUAGGUUUGGUUACUGUGAGGUCCUAUAGCAGGGCUGAGUGCCCCCAAGUGUUCUCUGCAUCUUCCCCACUCAUGCUCUGACUCCUGAAUAUCAAAGCCCAUAACAUGCAGGGUUCCCUCUUUGGCUGCUCCUACAACAAGAAACAAGAAUUUAAAAAGAACCCAUGGUUCUUGGCCUUCCUGUCCAUCUCCAUGGCAAUAGAAUUAUGGAGUCAAUGGGUCCUGAAUUUGCAAUGUUCUGGAUAGAAAGUUCUGCUCCCCUCUCACCACUCUCCACUCUCUACAAAGAUAAAAGUUAGGGGGUGUGGUUAAUUUUUGUGAAAGCCUGUCAGAAUACAGGACAGCACUGAGAACUUGUGGAGAUUCCCGGACAGCAGAUUCUGGGGAGAAGAAAUCCUCCUUGGAAGGUCCAGGCCAUCCCUGCCAGGCUUGUUGGAGAGCUACAGCCCCGAGCCUGGGAGGGCAGUUACUAAUCAGUCAGUCACGGCAGCAUCAAGCAAGCAGAGAAGGAAGGGAAUAAAAUGUCCUAGGAAGAUGGAAAUAGAUGUUUCAAAGCUUGAGAAGACCACCAGAGCAAGCAAUUCGGUUCAGUGUCACUACUAAGUACCUGAAUAUGGAAGAAGUGAGAAAGAAAGAGGAAAAGGAGAAGAGGGGAAAAUAAGAUGCUGUCAGAUACGGGCAGGAGAAAUCCUUUAGAGUGCUUUGUGACCACCCAGAAGUAGAAGAAUAAAACUAACGCUAUUAAAAAGCAAUGGAAUCCCUGCCUACUGCUGUUUCUCUGCCUCACAAACUUCUUUUUUCCCCUUUAAAUGCAACAAUAUAUUAACACUCUGUCAGUUGAAGAG